rnacentral:rRNA from 1 species
UACGUAGGGUGCAAGCGUUAAUCGGAAUUACUGGGCGUAAAGCGUGCGCAGGCGGUUCGCUAAGACCGAUGUGAAAUCCCCCGGGCUUAACCUGGGAACUGCAUUGGUGACUGGGCGGGCUAGAGUAUGGGCAGAGGGGGGUAGAAUUCCGACGUGUAGCAGUGAAAUGCGUAGAGAUGUGGAGGAAUACCGAUGGCGAAGGCAGCCCCCUGGGCCAAUA